AGAAUGAAUGCUAUUGGUAUGCUUAACACAUGCAAGUCAAAUGUUUUUUAAACAUGGCGAACGGGUGCGUAAAGUGUAAAUUAUUUACCCUAUAAUUCAGCAUAAUUAAUAAUUCUGAAUAAAAAAUAAAGUUUUAAAAAACGUUAUAGGAUAAGUUUGCAUAAGAUUAGGUAGUUGGUAGUUUAAAAGACUACCAAGCCUAUGAUCUUUAGCUGAUUUGAGAGAAUGAUCAGCCACAUAGGGACUGAGACACGGCCCUAACUUUUUUUGAAGGCAGCAGUGAGGAAUAUUGGACAAUGGGCGAAAGCUUGAUCCAGCAAUACCAAGUGAGUGAAGAAGGCUAUACGGUUGUAAAUCUCUUUCGUAAAUGAAGAAAAAGACAUUAAUUUAAAAAGAAGUUACCGGACUAAUUUCGCGCCAGCAGCCGC
rnacentral:rRNA from 1 species